UUUUCACCUGGCAGCCACGAAAGGGCAUGCAGAGUGCCUCAGGAUCAUGGUGACACAUGGUGCAGAUGUGACAGCCCAGGAUGGUGCAGGACACAGUGCUUUACAUCUUGCAGCAAAGAACAGCCACCCUGAUUGCAUUAAGAGGUUACUUCAGAGUAAAUGUCCAGCAGACAGCACUGACAAUUCUGGGAAAACAGCUUUGCAUUAUGCAG